UUACAAUUAGAAUAAUAUGUGAUUGCAUGGCAAUGGCUACUAUGGCCAUCCAGACAUUCCUUUGUGCUGGUAUUGCUUACAUUUCAGUUUUAAAACAUGUGCUUUUCUCCAGUAUGCUUUACUUUCAAUAAUUCCAAUUACAUUAUUUUCUGGUAUGAAAAACCAGAAUACAUUAUUGGCAGCCUUGCAUUCUAAAGGGACGCAACUGAUUCUUAGGAUAAAAGAGCCUCUAUCCAACAUACUUUAGCAUAAGCAGGUAUUAUGCACCACAUUCCUUAGGACAGAUGAAACCCAUAGAAACACAAAUUUAGAUGUAUAUCUCAAUGCUGCAGUGAUGGUUUCCUGUAAGUAUGCAUAGAAAAUAAGAUGCAGAUAAAUACACCAUUUAGGGCUGCCACUACUGAGGCAGCUGUGGGAAGACAGCCACGUUUUUUCUUAAUUAAAAUUUUUUACUUUGCUUCAGUUAGUCAAUUUAACACUCUUCAAGAGGCAUAAUGUAUAUAGUGGGCUAGUAUUUAAACAGUGAGAGCAGCUUAACAUUCAGAUCCUGCAGACUGUCUGACAGUCUUUUUGGAAGAAUCUCUAAAGACUAGGUGGUAUCUUUAAUUGUGAACAAAUAAACAUUAGUCUGGAUCCUGUGAACAAUUCAACAGAUGAAAUGCGGCAGAAGUUUUCUCUGCAGAUGGCGAUUCUAGGUGCUGUUAAUAAUAACGGUAGAUUCAUUUCACUUCAUCUCGUGAACUCUGAGAAAUUCUGGACAGUCUGGAGUUAUCUGCAUUCAAUCAUUAUUAAGAGAUCUCCUCAGUGCUUGUAUUAAUGACAAUUAUAAGGGAAGAGUCUUCCAGUUGCAAGACUUGAUUAUCACAUGGAGAAAAGCGGCUUGAAGUAUGAGUAUACACAGGCUCCUCAGCAGGAGGGAGCGGCUUUUGCUGAUUGAUCAAGGUUCUAGAAGGUAAAAUAUUUGAAAACCAGGGACAAGAAGCUCUCAAGAAAAUGUAUAUGGACACAUCUAUGAGAAAAGCCAGAGAGCAUGUGACUAUUAAUGAG
rnacentral:lncRNA from 1 species